CGUAGGGUGCGAGCGUUAAUCGGAAUUACUGGGCGUAAAGUGUGCGCAGGUGGCUGAGCAAGUCGAGUGUGAAAUCCCCGGGCUUAACUUGGGAAUUGCGCUCGAAACUACUUGGCUCGAGUGUGGCAGAGGAAGGUGGAAUUCCAGGUGUAGCGGUGAAAUGCGUAGAGAUCUGGAGGAACACCGAUGGCGAAGGCAGCCUUCUGGGCCAACACUGCCGCUCAUGCACGAAAGCGUGGGGAGCAAACAGGAUUAGAUACCCUGGUAGUCCACGCCCUAAACGAUGAUGACUAGUUGUUGGGGGAGUUAAAUCCCUUAGUAACGCAGCUAACGCGUGAAGUCAUCCGCCUGGGGAGUACGGUCGCAAGAUUA
rnacentral:rRNA from 1 species